UGUCUGUGAUGAUGUCACAUGUGAUGAUGUCACAUGUCCUGAACUGCAUACAGCUCCUGGAGUGCAUUUUGCUAUCCAGCACGAGGAGGAGAUCACACACCCAGAUGGAAAGGUAGAGCGAGUCUUGAAGGACGGCAGCAGGUUGCUGGUGUUUCCUAACGGGACGCAGAAGCUGCUCUCUGCUGACGGUUCGGCCAAAGUCACUUUCUUCAACGGAGACGUCAAGGAGGUCUGCCCCGACCAGAGAAUAGUGUACUACUUUGCAGACGCACAGACAACACACACAACCUUCCCAGAUGGAACAGAGCUACUGCAGUUUCCCAACAAUCAGACAGAGAAGCUCUACCCUGACGGGAAGAAGGAGAUUGUGUUUCCUGACCAGACGCUGAAGACUCUUCAUCCUGACGGCAGAGAAGAGAGCGUCUUACCAGAUGGCACCAUCAUCCGGCUGAACGCGUGAGUG